rnacentral:rRNA from 1 species
AGUGAACGCUGGCGGUAGGCCUAACACAUGCAAGUCGAACGGCAGCACAGUAAGAGCUUGCUCUUACGGGUGGCGAGUGGCGGACGGGUGAGGAAUACAUCGGAAUCUACUUUUUCGUGGGGGAUAACGUAGGGAAACUUACGCUAAUACCGCAUACGACCUACGGGUGAAAGCAGGGGAUCUUCGGACCUUGCGCGAUUGAAUGAGCCGAUGUCGGAUUAGCUAGUUGGCGGGGUAAAGUCCCACCAGGGCGACGAUCCGUAGCUGGUCUGAGGGGAUGGUCAGCAAAACGGGACUGGGGACAGGGUCAAGACCCCUACGGAGGGAAGAGGUGGGGAAUUUUGGACAAGGGGCGAAGGCCGGAGCCAGACAGACCGGGGGGGUGAAGAAGGCUUUCGGGUUGUAAAGCCCUUUUGUUGGGAAAGAAAAGCGGCAGGUUAACACCGCGCUGUUCUGACGGUACCCAAAGAAUAAGCACCGGCUAACUUCGU